AAACAUGAUGAAAAUCGAAAAGGUUCCCUCUGCUGAGGUUGCUUACCCACAACACAACCAUGCUGUAGCUUUUUCUUCUGAGCAAUAUGGAAAUUUAUGAAGACAUAUGUUAUGUAAGUGUACCAAGUAGCUUUUGUAUUUUCAGAAAAAUAAGGAGAGAGAUUGUGAAAUGAAAUUCUUGUUUACUCUACGUGCAUUUGCCUAAAAUAUCAAAAAAUAAGGGAAAGAACAGAUGAAACAAACAUCUUAUUGGUUACUCUCCGUGCAUAUACCUAAAUUACCAAUUAUUGAAGUUGGUUAGUCUACGUGCUUAAGUUGAAAUUGUCAAAAAAUAAUGGAACGAACAGAUGAAAUGAAUUUCUUGUUCUACAUGCAUCUGCUUAAAUUGUCGGAAAAUCAGUGAGAUUUUCACACCAAAAACUUGCACAAGUGAAGGUUGUAUUUUAUCCAACUCUACAUGCAUUCUCCAAUCUCUGAUUUGACAGACUGAAUGGAGACGCGGUCGCCGCUCGCGGUCAAAGGGACACGGCAGUCGCCUUCAUCGGCAGGAGUGCAUGAUCGCCCUCCAUCGGGCUCAUCUAUGUCUCAGCCCUCGACCUUGACGAGACGCGGUCGCCGCUCGCGGUCAUCGAAGCCGAAAUUACUGCAUUAGUCCCAACAUGAGUGCUCAGACUCGGAGUCCCAACAUGAAGGCUACUGCGAAAGCAUCUGCCAAGGAUGUUUUCUUUGAUCAAGAACGAAAGUUAGAGGUUCGAAGGCGAUCAGAUACCGCCCUGGUUCUAAAAUUUGCCUGUACAUGCCUGUGUCGAGGCGUGGCUUACAGGUCAAAUAAAUAAAGUUGUUAUAUAAAAAUA